rnacentral:rRNA from 1 species
GUGCAGCAGUCGCGAAUACUUUACAAUGUGCGAAAGCACGAUAAGGGAACUCUGAGUGCCUCCUAAGGAGGCUGUUCAGGUGUCUAAAAGCACCUGAAGGAAGGGCUGGGUAAGACCGGUGCCAGCCGCCGCGGUAACACCGGCAGCCCAAGUGGUAGCCACGUUUAUUGGGUCUAAAGCGUCCGUAGCCGGCUGGGUAAGUUCCUUGGGAAAUUUGGCUGCUUAACAGUCAAGCUUUCAGGGAAUACUGCCCGGCUUGGGACCGGGAGAGGUCAGAGGUACUCCAGGGGUAGGGGUGAAAUCCAUUAAUCCUUGGGGGACCACCGGUAGCGAAGGCGUCUGACCAGACCGGGUCCGACGGUGAGGGACGAAGGCUAGGGGCGCGAACCGGAUUAGAUACCCC